rnacentral:rRNA from 1 species
UGGGGAAUUUUGCACAAUGGGGGAAACCCUGAUGCAGCGACGCCGCGUGAUUUAGAAGGCCUUCGGGUUGUAAAAAUCUCUUGUAUGGGAAGAAAAUGACAGUACCAUACGAAUAAGGACCGGCUAAUUACGUGCCAGCAGCCGCGGUAAUACGUAAGGUCCGAGCGUUGUCCGGAAUCAUUGGGCGUAAAGGGUACGUAGGCGGAUAAGCAAGUUAGAAGUGAAAUCCUAUAGCUCAACUAUAGUAAGCUUUUAAAACUGCUCAUCUUGAGGUAUGGAAGGGAAAGUGGAAUUCCUAGUGUAGCGGUGAAAUGCGCAGAUAUUAGGAGGAAUACCGGUGGCGAAGGCGACUUUCUGGCCAUAUACUGACGCUGAUGUACGAAAGCGUGGGUAGCAAACAGG